UCCGAAUUGGUGUAGUGGCUAACAUUUGACGCUCUCAUAUCUGUUCUACCAGAUUGAAGUCACCGUCAAGCCCGGGGUUCGAUUCCCCGAUUCGGAG